AAUGGCACUGCAUGAAUUCACGGCUAUGCAUAACGACAGACCGCGGAUCAUACGGUACCAUAGC
rnacentral:pre_miRNA from 1 species